UGUGGUUUUAUUGCCAUGCUGGA
rnacentral:snRNA from 1 species